rnacentral:rRNA from 1 species
AUUGAACGCUGGCGGCAGGCCUAACACAUGCAAGUCGAGCGGAUGAGUGGAGCUUGCUCCAUGAUUCAGCGGCGGACGGGUGAGUAAUGCCUAGGAAUCUGCCUGGUAGUGGGGGACAACGUUUCGAAAGGAACGCUAAUACCGCAUACGUCCUACGGGAGAAAGCAGGGGGACCUUCGGGCCUUGCGCUAUCAGAUGAGCCUAGGUCGGAUUAGCUAGUAGGUGAGGUAAUGGCUCACCUAGGCGACGAUCCGUAACUGGUCUGAGAGGAUGAUCAGUCACACUGGAACUGAGACACGGUCCAGACUCCUACGGGAGGCAGCAGUGGGGAAUAUUGGACAAUGGGCGAAAGCCUGAUCCAGCCAUGCCGCGUGUGUGAAGAAGGUCCUCGGAUUGUAAAGCACUUAAGUUGGAGGAGGGCAGUAAGUUAAUAACCUUGCUGUUUGACGUUACC